CCCACUCCUAUCCUUAUCCUCUUCCUGACCUUUCCAUUUGGCUUUUCUUCAACCUCCAGCCGCGGCAUCCUCUGCUCUUCACAACCACGAUUUUGUCUCCUCCACGCUGCUCACGAACCACCACAAGCUCCUCUCACUGGCGGCCAUUGUUGUCGCAACCAGCUGCUGCUGGUGAACCAGCACGACCGGCGAUGAAGACGACGAGCUCCGAUGCCGCAACUAGAGAUUUUUAUUGCUGGAACCAGAUGGCAGAAAAGCUGCAACCACUUUUGGCAGGUGCUGGAACCGGACGACGACGAGUUCGUUUUUGUUGGAACCGGCAAGAUGUUUUGCUGCAUGGGCACGUGAGAGUUCUUGCUAUGACUGGUGGCGACGAUGUGUUUUUGCUAGAAACAUGGAUAAUUUUUGCUACAACUCGCAUGUGUUUUUGCUACUGCCGGCAAAUCAAUAGAUUAUUUGUUUUGGCUGAGAUUUUUUUUCGCAAGGGAACACGAUGGUCUAAGCGGACGACGGCGAUGAGUGGAGUGGAGGCGGUGACGCGUGGAGAUGCUGCAGCCACAAUGGUUGCCAGCUGGAACUGGCCGGCGGGUGAGCUGCAGUCACCAAUGUAAGAAGCAUGGGGCGGCCGAGGGACGAGCGUGGUCGACACGGGUGGCUGGCGAGUAGGAGCAGCAAAACGGCGGGCAUGGGUGGCUUGGGGUCGCCGGCAAGCGUGGCUGGCAAGGGGGACGAACGCGGCGGCCAGCGAACACGGAGGAUUUCCUUUUGUUUUUAAAUCACGCGCGUUGACAGAAGGGAGGAAGGAGAAGGACCCGGAUCUGACGGUUGUAACAGGGCAAAUCAGACAAUAUGGGCAGCGACCGGCCCAAAUUUGGGCCGGCGCACCGGCGCAUAUCAUUGCCCUUUUAUUUUCCUCACCCUUUUACAUCAUGAAACAUAACUCGAUUUGAUGCCAUGUUUUGGUUGCCCAUGUUUUGAUCAAUGUUGGCAAGCAAACUUAACUCUUGAGUGAUAGAAGCUGUAUAUUAGAGAACUUAGUGGCAUUCUCGGAAGAGGUCAUAUGCUAGUGAUAUUUUGAGAAUAUCAAAAAAACAGUACCAAUGCAUAUGUGUAGCUGAUGUACUGUAACAUUUUUUCACCACACAUAUAUAAGGAAGGAAAACAGUAAUAGUGCAUAUGUGC
rnacentral:rRNA from 1 species